CUUUUAUGGAGAGUUUGAUCCUGGCUCAGGACGAACGCUG
rnacentral:rRNA from 1 species